UUCUUCAAAGUGGUUGUGAAAUG
rnacentral:miRNA from 2 species